rnacentral:misc_RNA from 1 species
GAUGAAGAACGUAGUGAAAUGCGAUAAGUAAUGUGAAUUGCAGAAUUCAGUGAAUCAUCGAAUCUUUGAACGCACCUUGCGCCCUUUGGACAUUCCGAAGGGCAUGCCUGUUUGAGUAUCAUGAACACCUCAACUCUCACGGCUUGUCCGUGAUGAGCUUGGACUUUGGGGGUCUUGCCGGCCUGUGGUCGGCUCCUCUCAAAUGGAUCAGCUUGCCAGUGUUUGGUGGCAUCACAGGUGUGAUAACUAUCUGCGCUUGUGGUUUUCCAUCAGAUAACCUUCAGUGAUAUGGAGGUUCGCUGGAGCUCACUAAUGUCUCUCCUUAGUGAGGACAGCUCUUUGAACGUUUGAUCUCAAAUCAGGUAGGACUACCCGCUGAACUUAAGCAUAUCAAUAAGCGGAGGA